CUUGGUCAUUUAGAGGAAGUAAAAGUCGUAACAAGGUUUCCGUAGGUGAACCUGCGGAAGGAUCAUUCAUAAUAAGUGUUCUACUGCACUUUUUAAAAAUAGUACUCACCUUGUGUGCAAUGUUUGUUAGACUCUCUCGGGAGUCUGACAUUUAUACCAACCUUUUUUAUUUUGAACCACUUUGUCUGAAAAAUAUUAUGAAUACUUAAUUCUAAAUACAACUUUCAACAACGGAUCUCUUGGCUCUCGCAUCGAUGAAGAACGCAGCGAAAUGCGAUACGCAAUGUGAAUUGCAGAAUUCAGUGAAUCAUCGAAUCUUUGAACGCACAUUGCACUCUCUGGUAUUCCGGAGAGUAUGCUUGUUUGAGUAUCAGUAAACACCUCAAAUCUCUACUUUAUUGUAAAGAAUUGGACUUGAGCAAUCCCAACUGUCGAAAGAGAGGAGGGUUGCUUGAAAUGCAGGUGCAGCUAGACAUUCUUCUGAGCUAAAAGCAUAUUUAUUUAGUCCCGUCAAACGGAUUAUUACUUUUGCUCUAGCUAAUAUAAAGGUCGAAUGCGCUACAUGCUGACUGAUGCAGGAUUAACAAGAGCCGCAAGGUUUUUGUAAACUCGAUCUCAAAUCAAGUAAGACUACCCGCUGAACUUAAGCAUAUCAAUAAGCGGAGGA
rnacentral:rRNA from 1 species